rnacentral:sRNA from 1 species
UGUAUAUUUUAUCUAUUAAAUUCACAAAGGUGUUAUAUCAAUGACAAAUUUUAAAUAAAGAAAUUUACAUCAUACGCUAUAUUUUUGUGACAAUAUGAUAUAUGGUGGUUGUAUCAGAUUGGUGCCAGAUGUUGACUCUUAUAUAUAUAUAGAAAUAUUUUUGUAUAAUCCUCUUCUCUCCGUCCAUAUGCAGUGAUUUAAAUUGUAGACGCACUUGUAAAUUGAAAUAAAUGUACUUAAAAAAUAAAUGUACUUAUAGAAGAC